AUUGAACGCUGGCGGCAUGCUUUACACAUGCAAGUCGAACGGUAACAGGGAGCUUGCUCCGCUGACGAGUGGCGAACGGGUGAGUAAUGCAUCGGAACGUACCCAGUCGUGGGGGGAUAACGUAGCGAAAGUUACGCUAAUACCGCAUACGUCCUGAGGGAGAAAGCGGGGGACCGUAAGGCCUCGCGCGAUUGGAGCGGCCGAUGUCGGAUUAGCUAGUUGGUAGGGUGAAGGCCUACCAAGGCGACGAUCCGUAGCGGGUCUGAGAGGAUGAUCCGCCACACUGGGACUGAGACACGGCCCAGACUCCUACGGGAGGCAGCAGUGGGGAAUUUUGGACAAUGGGCGAAAGCCUGAUCCAGCCAUGCCGCGUGAGUGAAGAAGGCCU
rnacentral:rRNA from 1 species